rnacentral:sRNA from 1 species
CAACAAAACUAGUGGCUUGCGGACGGAUUUUGAUCUGGACAUCAUCAGCCUGAAAGAGGAUGGCCUGGAGAAGGUUGGGGUGUGGAGUCCUGCCGACGGGCUCAACAUCACUGAGAUUGCCAAAGGCCGAGGCCCUAAUGUCACUGACUCUCUGACAAACAGAUCACUCAUUGUCACCACAGUGCUGGUAAGAGCCUGCAGCCCCUGCAGGAAGGACUGUCCGACCUGGGGGUGGGGUGGCCGUUUGGGGUGGAGAGUCCCCUCUAUCCCCUCCACCCAGAAGAUGGAGGCUGCAGGUAGGUGGAGACUUUUAGAGUCAGCAGGAAGCUCUCAGAGAGCAGCUGGAGCGCAGCAGCGCUGCUCGCUGCCACGGGCGGAAGCCGCUGCGUUUUUGUGUCUCACUCCCACUCACUCCCCAAGUCCUUGAUGUCUGAGUAGGAACCAUGCUGGAUGGUGGAAUUAAGGGGGUUUGACUGCCCAUUGCAACCUGAGUGAGGAUCCGCCUCUCCCACCCCAGUUCCCAGGCAAAAGCCUUUCCCACAAGUCACCC